AAGCCAAAGUCAUCUUCCCUCACAGAUAUUGAAUCCCAAGCAAUAUACCUGGGAGAUGCCUCAAAAUUAGAGGUUCAAGCAGGAUGAAGUUUGGAACUUUCCAGGGAGCCAGCUGGAAGUGCAGAAAUGACAGAAAACUUUUGCAGGUGGGUACCACUGGAAGUGUGCUGAAGGCCGGGAUGUGCAUCCCUUUCCUGAGGGGAAAAAACGUGCAGAAGGUUACUGCUGAGGCUCUGAAAGGAGCUGGGCUUCUUCAGGGAGAGGUGUGCUGACUCAGUACAGGCUGGGAGUGCAUCCAGCCACUGCCUUGUCCUGCUUUAAAGUAUCAACGGGAGCCUGAGGUCUGGGUGAGGAGUGAAAUUAGUUGGGUUCCAGGGAACUCUGCCAAGUAACCCCAGGGACAUCAGUGGAGCUGGGGAAUAAGGGUUUUAAACAGCAAGUUCUAUGAAAUAUAGACCUGUCCUUGUCCAGAUCCCACUCAACUUCCCUGGAACCUCUGCUGGCUCCUGACACAGCUGGUGCAAAAGUGAUACCUCUGCAUGGGAAUUUCCACUCUCCAUGAGGCACUGGUCAGGUUAUUCCAGCAGGAAUUCAUCAGGGAAUGUGGGGCUGUGGGUGUAACUCACCUGAACUAGCAAAGCUGAUACCAAACCCCAAAUCUAGGCACCACAUAGAGAACAAUCUUUGUGCUGCCCUGUCAGUUAAAACCCCUGGGCUGGGAAAUUUCAGCAACCAAAUACAUGGAAUAAUCUACAUCCCAGUAGCCAGCAUUCCCCAGGGGAACAAUCCAAGUCCCAGGGUGGCAGCUGGUGUCCUUCCCCUGCUGCUGGUGGGACAAAUUCCCCUCAGAACGGGCAGGAGCUGAGAGCAGGAGGGGCGGAAGCGGCAUGGGGAAGUGCCGGGAGAUGAGGCUGCUACAAUGUCACCUGAAUUGGGAGAUGAGGCUGCUGGAAUGUCACCUGAAUCGGGAGAUGAGGCCGCUACAAUGUCACCUGAAUCGGGAGAUGAGGCCGCUACAAUGUCACCUGAAUCGGGAGAUGAGGCCGCUGCAAUGCCGGCUGAAUCGGCUGGAAACUCCUUCCCUGCAGGAGCCAGAGCAGAUCCCUCCUGGCCAGGCUGGUUGGCAGCCGCUGGAUCUGCUCUGGGGUAGAACCCCCUGCCCUGCCAGCAGCCCCGACUCUGCUUUCCCUCCCCGCUCCUGAGGGUGUCAGCGCUGCCGUGAGGGAGCUCAGACCCAAAAACCCCACAGCCCACAGAGUGAACGAUCCCAACAGGGAAAUGCGGUGUUGUGAUAAAAAUUCUGUUAAAAAGGCUGUGACAGCACUGUAAU
rnacentral:lncRNA from 1 species